CCCUUGGAAAUCCGAGUGAGGGAGUGUGAUUUUCGUGCCGGACCGUACCCACAUCCGCAGCAGGUCUCCAAAGGUGAACAGCCCUCUAGUCGAUGGACCCAAUGUAGGUAAGGGAAGUCGGCAAAACGGAUCCCGUAACCUUGGGAUAAGGAUUGGCUCUGAGGACUGAGCCGGUCGGGCUGGGGACCUGAAGCAGGAACGGCACUGCACCGGGACUGGGCGGGGCUCGCCGUUGACGCGGCGCGGCCAAGCCCGGACCAGCGUCGGGACCUUCCUGUGGAAAGCCUCAGCUGCGCGGCGUCUGAGGGCUUCGUGCCCAAAGUGCUAUGCUUCGGCCGGCAAAAAACAGUCAACUCAGAACUGGCACGGACCGGGGGAAUCCGACUGUCUAAUUAAAACAAAGCAUUGCGAUGGCCGCUGGUCGGUGUUGACGCAAUGUGAUUUCUGCCCAGUGCUCUGAAUGUCAACGUGAAGAGAUUCAUCAAAGCGCGGGUAAACGGCGGGAGUAACUAUGACUCUCUUACAGCCCAUAGAAGGAAACAGAAUUAUUAUGCGAGGAACGAUGAGGUUGUAGCCUAUGCCAAAGCUGAUAGGAGUGGAACACCCAUCGUCACCUCCUGUACAGUGUCGUACAGAGGGGUGUGGUCAACAUCGUCAAGGGCCGACCUCCAUGGGCUGGGUGUCA
rnacentral:ncRNA from 1 species